GAUGAACGCUGGCGGCGUGCCUAAUACAUGCAAGUCGAGCGAACAGACGAGGAGCUUGCUCCUCUGACGUUAGCGGCGGACGGGUGAGUAACACGUGGAUAACCUACCUAUAAGACUGGGAUAACUUCGGGAAACCGGAGCUAAUACCGGAUAAUAUAUUGAACCGCAUGGUUCAAUAGUGAAAGACGGUUUUGCUGUCACUUAUAGAUGGAUCCGCGCCGCAUUAGCUAGUUGGUAAGGUAACGGCUUACCAAGGCAACGAUGCGUAGCCGACCUGAGAGAGUGAUCGGCCGCACUGGAACUGAGACACGGUCCAGACUCCUACGGGAGGCAGCAGUAGGGAAUCUUCCGCAAUGGGCGAAAGCCUGACGGAGCAACGCCGCGUGAGUGAUGAAGGUCUUCGGAUCGUAAAACUCUGUUAUUAGGGAAGAACAAAUGUGUAAGUAACUAUGCACGUCUUGACGGUACCUAAUCAGAAAGCCACGGCUAACUACGUG
rnacentral:rRNA from 1 species